UUCAACUGCACUUUUCAGCCAUUUCUAUUGGCUAAGCUGCUAGUCGAUCGUCUCGAUAUUUCGAUAUUUCGAGAAUCGCAAUCACGUUGGUAGAAACUUUAAAUGCGCCAUGGCGUUUGUGGGAUCGUGUCUGAAUCUGCCCCGUGUUUCGCGUGAUUUUUAUCGUACAAAAUUACUUUUGCUCGUUAGAUUACGGCCGCAAUUUCUCCGCCAGAAUGCAUCGGGAUUGCACCUGGUGCGCGAUCAUUGCCAAGCAGAUACAUGUUUUAUUACAUUGUUUAUUAUAUUGUUUUACAAUCAGUGGCGUAAAAUAUCUCAAUAAAUAUUAGGUUGUUCAUUAA